GACGAACGCUGGCGGCGUGCCUAAUACAUGCAAGUAGAACGCAGUUGCGAACGGGUUAGUAACGCGUAGGUAACUGCCUCAUAGCGGGGGAUCACUCUUGGAAACGAUAGCUAAUACCGCAUACUGUUAGAUGGACCUGCGUUGUAUUAGCUCGUUGGUGAGGUAAAGGCUCACCAAGGCGACGAUACAUAGCCGACCUAGGAGGGGGAUAGGCCACACUGGGACUGAGACACGGCCCGGACUCCUACGGAAGGCAGGAGAAGGGAAUCAUCGGAAAUGGAAGGAAGGCUGACCGAGCAACGCGGCGUGAGUUAAGAAGGUUUUCGGAUGGGAAAGCAGUGGUGUUAGAGAAUCGGUAACUAACCAGAAAGGGACGGCUAACUACGUGCCAGCAGCCGCGGUAAUUC
rnacentral:rRNA from 1 species